UCUUUUAUCCAGAUCCUUUGCUUUUCUGUUUCCAGGGUUACAACAGCCACUCAGACGAAGACGACCCAGAGAGGAUACAAAUGAUCAUCCAAAGAGCGAUCACAGACGCAGACUGGAUUCUUAAUAAAUACACCAAGAAGAAGUGAGCUUCACACGGUGGGUUCGUGUCCACAGGCGGUGCAUUUAGCAGAGCUGCACCUGAUGGAAGCCAUAACAGUCGAUGUGCUGUCUCUGUGUCCGAGCGCUCGUGGUGUUACUGUUCUUACUGUUUUGUGUUUGUCAUGUGAGGAACAACUCGCAGGUAAUGGACUGUUAGUUAUACUGUGUUAAAUGACUGCUUACUGCUAUGUGUAAAUACCGUUCUAAGAUUUUUUUCAUUAAAUUAAUUUGAAAACAC